ACUGCUCAGUAACACGUGGCUAACCUGCCCUCGGGACGGAGACAACCCCGGGAAACUGGGGCUAAUCCCCGAUAGGCGAAGAACUCUGGAAUGAGUCUCCGCCCAAAAGACGCUUACGCCAUGCUCGUAGGCGCCGCCCAAGGAUGGGGCCGCGUCCGAUCAGGUUGUUGGUGAGGUAACGGCUCACCAAGCCUUUUACCGGUGCGGGCCGUGAGAGCGGGAGCCCGGAGAUGGGCACUGAGACAAGGGCCCAGGCCCUACGGGGCGCAGCAGUCGCGAAAACUUUGCAAUACACGAAAGUGUGACAGGGCUAUCCCGAGUGCCAUCCGCUGAGGAAGGCUUUUACCCAGUAUAGACAGCUGGGGGAAUAAGGAGAGGGCAAGACUGGUGUCAGCCGCCGCGGUAAUACCAGCUCUCCGAGUGGUGUGGAUGUUUACUGGGCCUAAAGCAUCCGUAGCUGGCUGGGCAAGUCCCCUGUUAAAUCCACCGAUUUAAUCGUUGGUUUGCGGGGGAUACUGUUCGGCUAGGGGACGGGAGAGGCCGACGGUAUUUUCGGGGUAGGGGUGAAAUCCUAUAAUCCCGGGAAGACCACCAGUGGCGAAGGCUGUCGGCUAGAACGCGCCCGACGGUGAGGGAUGAAAGCUGGGGGAGCGAACCGGAUUAGAUACCCGGGUAGUCCCAGCUGUAAACGAUGCAGGCUAGGUGUUUGGGUGGCUACGUGCCACUCUAGUGCCGCAAGGAAACUGUUAAGCCUGCCGCCUGGGGAGUACGGUCGCAAGGCUGAAACUUAAAGGAAUUGGCGGGGGAGCAC
rnacentral:rRNA from 1 species